rnacentral:rRNA from 1 species
CAGUCGCCGCGGGAAUACGAAGGGUGCAAGCGUUAAUCGGAAUUACUGGGCGUAAAGCGUGCGUAGGCGGUGAGUUAAGUCUGCUGUGAAAUCCCCGGGCUCAACCUGGGAAUGGCAGUGGAUACUGGCAAGCUAGAGUGUGUCAGAGGAUGGUGGAAUUCCCGGUGUAGCGGUGAAAUGCGUAGAGAUCGGGAGGAACAUCAGUGGCGAAGGCGGCCAUCUGGGACAACACUGACGCUGAGGCACGAAAGCGUGGGGAGCAAAUAGGAUUAGAUACCCCCGUAGUCCCUGUCUCUUAUAC